GGGGGAGGAGCAGGAGCGCGCGGCCGCGGCGCUACCUUUCUCCAAACAACGUUGCCACACGCGGAGAGCACGGAGAUUUCUGGGGCUUUGGAGGGAAUCGUGAGCGGGCGGGAGGAGGCCGGGGACCACACAGAGAAUAACUUGUCUGACUACCAGUAUUCUUGGAUGCAGAAGUGCUGAAGAUGAGCACACACACGUACGGAGAAUUUCUGGAGAAUUCAGCUGCUCAGAACAAGAACUGAGAUCCAGAGAGAUGAUGACUUUGCCCAUAGACCAAACAAAGAAAUACAUGUUUCAGUCCUGUGUCCUCCUGCUAUGUGUGUCCGGAAUUGGUGGGUUCUUGGUCUCACUGACUUCAAGAAUGAAGCUGCGGACCCUCGCGGACCGUGUGUGAAUGCCUGCUCUGUGAGCCCUCAGAAUCUACUGGCUGAAUGAGUGCGUGGAGGAAAUGUGCUCAGAGCUGCUGUGUGUCAUCCUGUGUUUGAAGUGCUCCUGCAGCUAUCAUUCAUCCAGUUAAGAAUUUGAAGAACUCACAGGAUAUCGGCCAUGUUAAUGAGUCUGAUGUUGCUAGUAUCACAGGCACCGGAAAAUAUGCACAUUAUGCUGGAGCAUUAGAAUGCAACAGAAAGAGCCCUGGGCUUGGAGUAUGCAGAACUGGUUCUUGUUACAACUCCUCUUACUAGUGGGCUCUGGAAGAAAACACAUUGAAUUCAUGAUCAUGGUUAACCUUUGGAGAGAGAGAGGAGACCAGGAUGAAGGAGCCAGUCGAAGAUCCUGUUCAAGUGUACACUGAGCCAGCAGGUUCACCAGAAAGCUAUUGAGCGUUUGCUGGAACACAUUAUGCAGGGUGAAUUUCUUCUGGAAUGUUGCCAAGGAUUUUUUAUGCUUCUGUGGCAGGCAUUUCUUGAACAUUGUCAUUUAGCCAAGCAAAGAAGAUUUUCUUAAAGGAUAGAAAAUGUUUAAAAAUUUUUGUUUGUUUGAAGAUAGGUUAAAUGGCUAUAUGAUCUCAGGAUAAGACAGAGAAAAUCACUUAUUUCUCUAAGUGAUCUGAUUAGGUUAGUGAUGUUUUGCCUUUAAACAGAUUCAUCAUUAUUCCUAAAGUAUUGCUGUAUUAAUACUGUCUUCUAGAAAGUAUCCACCAGUGCCUACUUUUCUUCGAUAUCAUUAGCUGUUUUUCGAAACUGAAUUUGCUCUUCAGAGAUUUCUCAUAUGUUUGCGUAUAAGGAACUACUGGUAAUAGCCAAGAAAAUUUGGAGGUGCAGAGAACAUGCUGAAACAGAAUUUUUCACUUUCAAUUCUAGAACUAUGCCAUAAAAAAAAAGGAAAAUGUAAAAAUGUCUUUAUAUUAGAGCAGAUAUUUUAAAAGUAUUGCAAAUUCAAUGAUAAAUUCUAAGGUUAAAAUUGGACACAUAAAAAAUACAAUAUAUAAAUAUCUCCCCAGAAAUUAUUAUCUAAUGAAUAGUAAAAGCUGACUACAAACCAUGUCAUUUUAACAAGGGUUUAAAUAGUACCAAGAUUCUCAUCAUAUGCUCUGGGAUACCCAGUGAUGUACAAGGGUUCUCUCUAAACAUGGGGAGGAAAAAUUUCAAAUAUAAAGAUUUGAAUCUUGUCUUUGCCA
ensembl:lncRNA KLF3-AS1 KLF3 antisense RNA 1